GGGGGCGACACGGCUUCGACGUGGAUUGCGAAACCUUCGGGGCAUGCCGAGGCGCAGAUUACCUCGUUAAUACAGCUGCUAACUUUAUAGUUGCCAACGAAGACAACUACGCUCUAGCCGCUUAAACCCGGUUAGCCAUUUGCCCGUUUUGCCUGUGGGGUGGAACAAAUGGUCAUUUACACAGGAUCGCGUGAGGUUGUGCCUGCCAAUCCAGCGCUAAAUCUUGUCAGGCUCAGCUUAUCGGUUUCCUGUCUGUCGGGUGCCGAUCGGUGAACUUAAAGACAGACUAAGCAUGUAGAACCGGAUGGCGGAGAAUUUGCGGACGCGGGUUCGAUUCCCGCCGCCUCCACCA
rnacentral:tmRNA from 1 species